ACAGUGGACGCGAGCAUCUGUGGCCAAGUUUUUAAGGGCGCACGGUGGAUGCCUUGGCACCAGGAACCGAUGAAGGACGUGGGAGGCCACGAUAGUCCCCGGGGAGCUGUCAACCAAGCUUUGAUCCGGGGGUUUCCGAAUGGGGAAACCCGGCAGUCGUCAUGGGCUGUCACCCGCUGCUGAACACAUAGGCAGUGUGGAGGGAACGAGGGGAAGUGAAACAUCUCAGUACCCUCAGGAAGAGAAAACAACCGUGAUUCCGGGAGUAGUGGCGAGCGAAACUGGAUGAGGCCAAACCGUAUGCGUGUGAUACCCGGCAGGGGUUGCGCAUGCGGGGUUGUGGGAUCUCUCUUUCAUAGUCUGCCGGCUGUGAGACGAGUCAGAAACCGUUGAUGUAGGCGAAGGACAUGCGAAAGGUCCGGCGUAGAGGGUAAGACCCCCGUAGCUGAAACAUUAACGGCUCGUUUGAGAGACACCCAAGUAGCACGGGGCCCGAGAAAUCCCGUGUGAAUCUGGCGGGACCACCCGCUAAGCCUAAAUAUUCCCUGGUGACCGAUAGCGGAUAGUACCGUGAGGGAAUGGUGAAAAGUACCGCGGGAGCGGAGUGAAAUAGUACCUGAAACCGUGUGCCUACAAGCCGUGGGAGCGUCGCGCAUCGAGCUUGCUCGGUGCGUCGUGACUGCGUGCCUUUUGAAGAAUGAGCCUGCGAGUUAGCGGUGUGUAGCGAGGUUAACCCGUGUGGGGAAGCCGUAGCGAAAGCGAGUCCGAACAGGGCGUUUGAGUUGCACGCUCUAGACCCGAAGCGGAGUGAUCUAGCCAUGGGCAGGUUGAAGCGGAGGUAAGACUUCGUGGAGGACCGAACCCACCAGGGUUGAAAACCUGGGGGAUGACCUGUGGUUAGGGGUGAAAGGCCAAUCAAACUCCGUGAUAGCUGGUUCUCCCCGAAAUGCAUUUAGGUGCAGCGUCGUGUGUUUCUUGCCGGAGGUAGAGCACUGGAUAGGCGAUGGGCCCUACCGGGUUACUGACCUUAGCCAAACUCCGAAUGCCGGUAAGUGAGAGCGCGGCAGUGAGACUGUGGGGGAUAAGCUCCAUGGUCGAGAGGGAAACAGCCCAGAGCAUCGACUAAGGCCCCUAAGCGUACGCUAAGUGGGAAAGGAUGUGGAGUCGCAGAGACAACCAGGAGGUUGGCUUAGAAGCAGCCACCCUUGAAAGAGUGCGUAAUAGCUCACUGGUCAAGUGAUUCCGCGCCGACAAUGUAGCGGGGCUCAAGCGUACCGCCGAAGUCGUGUCAUU
rnacentral:rRNA from 1 species